AACGAACGCUGGCGGCGUGCCUAACACAUGCAAGUCGAACGCGAGGCGCCCUUUCGGGGGCGUAGUAGAGUGGCGCACGGGUGAGUAACACGUAGACAACCUGCCUUCGAGCCCGGGAUAACCUUUCGAAAGAAGGGCUAAUACCGGAUAACACUUUGGGCCGCAUGGCCUGAAGUUGAAAGGCUUGCUACUCGAAGAGGGGUCUGCGGGACAUUAGCUAGUUGGUGGGGUAACGGCCUACCAAGGCUCUGAUGUCUAGCGGGUCUGAGA
rnacentral:rRNA from 1 species